CCUACGGGAGGCAGCAGUGGGGAAUAUUGGGCAAUGGGCGCAAGCCUGACCCAGCAACGCCGCGUGAAGGAAGAAGGCUUUCGGGUUGUAAACUUCUUGUCUCAGGGACGAAGCAAGUGACGGUAGCGGAGGAAUAAGCCACGGCUAACUCCGUGCCAGCAGCCGCGGUAAUACGUAGGUGGCAAGCGUUAUCCGGAUUUACUGGGUGUAAAGGGCGUGUAGGCGGGACUGCAAGUCAGAUGUGAAAACCACGGGCUCAACCUGUGGCCUGCAUUGGAAACUGUAGUUCUUGAGUACUGGUGAGGCAGACGGAAUUCCUAGUGUAGCGGUGAAAUGCGUAGAUAUUAGG
rnacentral:rRNA from 1 species